CAGCAGUGAGGAAUAUUGGUCAAUGGACGAGAGUCUGAACCAGCCAAGUAGCGUGCAGGAUGACGGCCCUAUGGGUUGUAAACUGCUUUUAUAGGGGGAUAAAGUGUGCCACGUGUGGCAUAUUGCAGGUACCCUAUGAAUAAGGACCGGCUAAUUCCGUGCCAGCAGCCGCGGUAAUACGGAAGGUCCGGGCGUUAUCCGGAUUUAUUGGGUUUAAAGGGAGCGUAGGCCGUCUUAUAAGCGUGUUGUGAAAUGUCGGGGCUCAACCUGGGCAUUGCAGCGCGAACUGUGAGACUUGAGUGCGCAGGAAGUAGGCGGAAUUCGUCGUGUAGCGGUGAAAUGCUUAGAUAUGACGAAGAACUCCGAUUGCGAAGGCAGCCUGCUGUAGCGCAACUGACGCUGAAGCUCGAAAGCGUGGGUAUCGAACAGGAUUAGAUACCCUGGUAGUCCACGCGGUAAACGAUGGAUGCUCGCUGUUUGCGUCUGACGUAAGCGGCCAAGCGAAAGCGUUAAGCAUCCCACCUGGGGAGUACGCCGGCAACGGUGAAACUCAAAGGAAUUGACGGGGGCCCGCACAAGCGGAGGAACAUGUGGUUUAAUUCGAUGAUACGCGAGGAACCUUACCCGGGCUUGAACUGCAGCGGACGGAUACAGAGAUGUUGACUCCCUUCGGGGCCGCUGUGGAGGUGCUGCAUGGUUGUCGUCAGCUCGUGCCGUGAGGUGUCGGCUUAAGUGCCAUAACGAGCGCAACCCUUGUUCGUAGUUGCCAUCGGGUGAUGCCGGGCACUCUGCGAAGACUGCCUCCGUAAGGAGUGAGGAAGGUGGGGAUGACGUCAAAUCAGCACGGCCCUUACGUCCGGGGCUACACACGUGUUACAAUGGCAUGUACAGAAAGCGGGGUGUAUGCAAAUACGCUCGAAUCCCUAAAACAUGUCUCAGUUCGGACUGGGGUCUGCAACCCGACCCCACGAAGCUGGAUUCGCUAGUAAUCGCGCAUCAGCCAUGGCGCGGUGAAUACGUUCCCGGGCCUUGUACACACCGCCCGUCAAGCCAUGAAAGCCGGGGGCGCCUAAAGUCCGUGACCGCGAGGGUCGGCCUAGGGUGAAACCGGUGAUUGGGGCUAAGUCGUAACAAGGUAGCCGUACCGGAAGGUGCGGCUG
rnacentral:rRNA from 1 species